rnacentral:rRNA from 1 species
UACGUAGGGUCCAAGCGUUAAUCGGAAUUACUGGGCGUAAAGCGUGCGCAGGCGGUUUGUUAAGCCAGAUGUGAAAUCCCCGGGCUCAACCUGGGAAUUGCAUUUGGAACUGGCGAACUAGAGUCUUGUAGAGGGGGGUAGAAUUCCAGGUGUAGCGGUGAAAUGCGUAGAUAUCUGGAGGAAUACCGGUGGCGAAGGCGGCCCCCUGGACAAAGACUGACGCUCAUGCACGAAAGCGUGGGGAGCAAACAGGAUUAGAUACCCUAGUAGU